GUGUUUUCUUUGGCAGCACAUAUACUAAAACUGAAACAAUAGAGAGAUUAGCAUGGCCCCUAUGAAAGGAUGAUAUGCAAAUUCAUGAUGCUUUCCAUAUUUUU